UUGAAACUUGUUGAGAAUAGACCAACAUAGACCCCAGUCAUUGUUGCAAUUAAUAAGAAGUAAUAAGGAAAGAGAGGUUAACAUAUAAAUAUAUCAUCUUAGACACUUUCUAUAAUUGUGAGCACUCGCCAAACUAUUACAUGCUUAGAAGUAGAUGUUGGACAAGAAAGACAACUUAAUGAAUUGUGUUUGCUUGGUUCCAAACAAUGUUAUAUGUUUAGAGAUCCCUUAGCAUGUGACGAUUGCUUCCACCUCAUAUUAGCCCAAACUCCCGCACCAAGUAGAGAUACUACUUGUGCAUCCAUAAACCUUCAACCCAGUUUUGCUAUGAGUGUCCACCAUACCUACCUGUGGAUUGAAUAAGAUCCCUCAAGUAAGUUGCAUCGGUGCAAGCAAUAAAAAUUGCUCUCUAAUAUGUAUGAUCUAUUAGUGUGUGGAAAAUAAGCUUUAUACGAACCUUUGAUGAGGAAGACAUAAAAGCGACAGACUGCAUAAUAAACUUCUUUAUCACAGGAGGCAAUAUAAAGUGACGUUCCUCCGCACUAAGAGGACACACAUCCAAACCUCAAAAGCGCAUGACAACCUCUACUUCCCUCUGCGAAGGGCCUAUCUUGUACCUUUACUUUUGCCCUUGAAAGAGUCAUGGUGAUCUUCACCAAUUCCUUAUUCCAUCUUCAUCUUGGUGAACGUCAUAUGCUAUGGAAAGAUCUAUAUUGAUAUAUCAACUUGGAGAUGAGUACUUAUGCUUUAUUAUUGUUGACUUUACUCUUGAGCUAAAUGGUUGGGAGGCAAAAUUAUAAGCCCCUAUCUUUCACUGUAUCCAACUGAAACUUUGAUACCAUGAGUACCACGUGAGUUGUAACAAUUGUGAAAAACAAAAGAGAUGAUUGAGUAUGUGGAUUUGCUUUACAAGCUUUUAUUUGACUCUUUCUGAUGAUAUGAUAAAUUGCAAUUGCUUCAAUGACUAUGGACUAUUGUUGGCCACUUCUAGGUAAGGUUUUUGUUUCAUGCUUUACUUUGUGAAGGAAUUGUUACUUUCCCAUGAGAAUCUUUAUGAUGUAUUGCUGUUCUAUGUGUGAUCAUGAUGCCCUCAUGUUUGUAUUAUGUUUUAUCGACACCUUCAUCCCUAAACAUGUGGACAUGUUUAUGGAUCUUGGUUUUCGCUCGAGGACAAGCAAGGUCUAAGCUUGGGGGAGUUGAUACGUCCAUUUUGCAUCAUGCUUUCAUGUUGAUAUUUAUCUCUUUAUAGACUGUUAUUAUACUUUGUGGUACCAUACUUAUGCCUUUUCUCUCUUAUUUUGCAAGGUCUAUUUGAAGAGGGAGAAUACCGGCAGCUGGAAUUUUGGACUGGAAAAGGAGCAAGUCUGAGUCCUCUAUUCCGCGCAACUCCAAAUGCCCUUAAAAUAAACGUGGAAUUUUUUGGGAAUAUAUAAAAAAUAUUGGGCGAAAGAAGUGCCAGAGGGGAGCUGCCAGGGGCCCACAAGCCUGGUGGCCGCGGCCUACCCCCGUGGCCGCAGCAUCAGGGCUUGUGGGCACCCUGGUGGCCCACUUGCCCCCCUCUUCUGCUAUAUGAAGGGUUUCAUCCGGAAAAAAAAUCAGGGGGAGCUUUUUCGUGGAUUCUCCGCCGCCACGAGGCAGAACUUGAGCAGAACCAAUCUAGAGCUCUGGUAGGACGAACCUGCCAGAGAAACUUCCCUCCCGGAGGGGGAAAUCGUCGCCAUCAUCAUCACCAACACUCCUCUCAUCGGAGGGGACUCAUCACCAUCAACAUCUUCAUCAGCACCAUCUCAUCUCCAAACCCUAGUUCAUCUCUUGUAACCAAUCCCGUCUCGCGACUCCGAUUGGUACUUGUAAGGUUGCUAGUAGUGUUGAUUACUCUUUGUAGUUGAUGCUAGUUGGAUUACUUGGUGGAAGAGUUUAUGUUCAGAUCCUUGAUGCUACUCAUUACACCUCUGAUCAUGAUUAUGAUUAUGCUUUGUGAGUAGUUACUUUUGUUCCUGAGGACAUGGGAUAAGUCAUGCUAAUAAUAGUCAUGUGAAUUUGGUAUUCGUUCGGUAUUUUGAUAUGUUGUAUGUUGUCUUUUCCUCUAGUGGUGUUAUGUGAAUGUCGACUACAUAACACUUCACCAUAUUUGGGCCUAGAGGAAGGCAUUGGGGAGUAGUAAGUAGACGAUGGGUUGCUAGAGUGACAGAAGCUUAAACCCCAGUCUAUACGUUGCUUCGUAAGGGGCUGAUCUGGAUCCACUAGUUUAAUGGUAUGGUUAGACAUUGUCUUAAUUCUUCUUUUGUAGUUGCGGAUGCUUGCGAGAGGGGUUAAUCUUAAGUGGGAUGCUUGUCCAAGUAAGGGCAGUACCCAAGCGCCGGUCCACCCACAUAUUAAACUAUCAAAGUAACGAACGCGAAUCAUAUGAACAUGAUGAAACUAGCAUGACAGAAAUUCCCGUGUGUCCUCGGGGGCGUUUUACUUCCUAUAAGACUUUGUUCAGGCGUGUCCCUUACUACAAAAGGGAUUGGGCCACUUUGCUGCACCGUUGCUACUCUUGUUACUUGUUACUUUUCACUUGCUACGUUUCACCUCACUACACCAUCACUUGUUACCGCUACUUUCAAUGCUUGCAGUUAUUACCUUGCUGAAAACCAUUUAUUGGAGCCUUCUGCUCCUCGUUGGGUUCGACACUCUUACUUAUCGAAAGGACUACGAUUGAUCCCCUAUACUUGUGGGUCCUGAGUGAGUAGGACUGCCCCGGCACAAUGUCGUGGAAGACAAUACUAGUCGGGAACAUGUCCUUCUCCUUGAGCCCCAACUUGAGGAGGGUGUCGCAGUAGAGGAUGUUGGUGCUGCUACCGCCGUGGACCAACACCCCCCAGAACCGGCAGGUCAGUCUCUUGGAAGUGAUGGUGGGGUCGAGGACGAGCACAUAGGUGCCGAGGUUCAGCAUCACUGCCAGAUGGACAACCCGGCUCCAUGUAAAUAGCUUUUCGGACCAGUGCAUGUAUUGGGGAACCGAGGGCACAAUGGCAUUCACCUCAUGUCGGUGCUGGUGUUGGAUGUGCUUGUCGGCUCCCUCGCUGGUGAAGACGACGUAAGCUCCGUCUUUAUUAGGAAACUGAUCGUGGAUACGACCAUCAUUGGGAGGCGGCAGAGCUGGAGCUGGAGCCGGCUCAGGAGCCGGAGCUCGAGGAGCCAGCGAUGGAGGAGCCGGCAGGCCCUCGCCACGGGUUGGGCGCUAUGAGAAGCUUCCCUACCGGAGCGUGUGGGUAGACGGCUUCACCUCAGUAUGCAUGUUGCAAGAUGUGUCAAGCAUCUGCUCGAAGGUGAGCUUGGGCUGCCAGGCGGCCUUGCCAGUUCGCUGGCGUUGAGCACUGGCUUGGUCAGCUGGUUCGUCCUCCUCUACAAGCUGUGGGUCUAGCUGACCAGCCUUGCGCUUGUUGCUUUGUUAGCCGCGAUUGUCGCUAGCCGGAUUCGUCGUAGCCGGUGGCCAGGAUGGGCUUAUCUAUUGCACUGACCUUGAUCUGCAUGGCAGAGUCGACAGUCGAGUACUUGUCCGCCUUGGCCAUGAGUGCCGCCAAAGAGGUGGUAUCGGAGCACAUGAGCUUGUGCUCGAAGAGGGUGCCAUCUCGGCAACCUUCGAUGAAGUACUGGAUGGCCUGAAUCUCAUGCACUCCUUCACAUCAGUUGUGUAGUUCGUUCCAGCGCAUGACAUAGUCGCGGAGGGGCUUGUCAGGCUUCUGGACACACAUGGCCAGCUCGCGGGGGCGGCUAGGGCGUUUGUAGGUGCCAGUGAAGUUGCAUACGAAAGCUUUCUCGAAGUCAACCCAGGUGUUGACGCUGCCGGCUGGCAAGCUGUUAAGCCAUGUUUGGGCCGAGCCAAUCAGCAUGAGCGGCACGUAGUAGACGGAUACGCGUUUGUUGCCAUUGGCAAUGCCGACUACAGUGGUGUAGUCGAUCAACCAAUCUUCCGGCUUGGCAUAGCCGUUGUACUUGGGAGUGUCGCGGGGAAGGGUGAAGUAGGUGGAAAUGGCUCCACGCGGAUCCGGGGCCGUAGCAUGCCAGACCAAUGGGACCCUCCUCCUCCAGGAGGGCCGACCAUGCCAGUCGGUCAAGGCGGGUGCGAGCGUCGUUCUUGGUGCGGGGGAUACAUGGAUCAAGCCGAGCCGAGAGUUCAGGACGGACCAGAAGGCGCAAGCGUGUGGGCCUUCUCCUUCUGUGCAGGCAGGGGGAUGACGCGGACUGACUGGUCAUACCUCCAACUGGCUCUCAGAGUCGGCUGUAGACCGCUGGGUGCUCACUCCGACGAUGAGAGCGUCGGCCACGACUUCCCUCACCCCUCUGGCCAGAACCACGAGGGGACGAAGAGUGCUGAGCUAACUGACGGUCGCUUGGAACCUGGUAACCCUCGUAGUCGAAUCAAGGAGAUCCAAAAAAGCAUGCUUCGGGUCAAGGCGACCUUGUUGCUCAUUGCUAGCAGCGAGGAGGUCUUGAGCUUGUUUCUCUUGCCGUGCGUGCUCCUCGCCCUCCAUGGUGGCCAUCUCCUCAUGGGCGACCUGGGUGGCCCGCAUGUUGGCUACGAGAGUGUCAUAGACGGGCAGCUUGCCGCCUAGGAUGUCGACAACAACCCGACCGCGACCCCGAACCUCGCCACAUCGGCUCGGUCCAUGGACAACCGGGGUGAAGCCGUAAGCAGAGAUGUACUCAUGUUGCGCGGACUCCAUCCGGCGCUUGGCAACUGCAAGGGCGGAGCCCUCCGCAAACAACUGUUUUCGGGCCUCCUCCAACUCAUCUCUAGCCGAUGCCACAUAGGCAAUUGGCACGAUGGGGUAGCGCAGCCCCUCGAGGAUGGUGCGAAGCGGGUCGGAAGGGCCCGAAUGAGUCGCUCCCGAGAUGGUGUUGGAUCUGGUUACCAUCACCUCCAUGAGGACAGAGGGGACGGUGGCGUCGCACGGGGCGAGAGACCCCGCGAAUGCUGGUGGGUCGCUUCAGUUGAGUACGUCGCUGGGGUACUCAUCCGAUGCAGGCACAUCCUCAAGAUUGAGCUUACCGAAGAGCACGCAUAGUGAGUUCGACGUCGACAUCCCUGCCAAGGCGGCGAGGUCCAUCGUGAAGGCGCAGGUCGUCGAAGGGGGCACAUAGGUGAUCGACAUCAGGAAUGACACGGUCGCAGCGCGGGUUCCUGAUGGGCUCGAUGAUCAACACCGUGAAAUCCUCCGCAAGGGUAGGCUCGACGGGCAUGCUGAACGGUCCGCAUGCGAGGCGUCCGGUGGAGUGGACGGAUGGUCCCGCCCGAAGCGUAACUCCGACCGGUAUCACGUACAACCCCAUGGUGGCGCCAAUUGUUGUUGUUUUCUCACGACAAUAGCCAUGGGUAGGCUAAUUGAGAAAGGUUGGGGCCGAAAGGUCACUGGCGGACUCCGGGAACGGGAUUGGUAACUAGCGAUGCAAGAUGCACGAUGUACCCAGGUUCAGGGUCCUCCAUGGGUGGUAACACCCCUAGUCCUGCCGGAGUGGUUGAUGAACCAGUAGAGUUACAAUGUGCUCCUUGAGCUGCUCCACGGAGAAGGAAGAAGGAGCAGUCGGCUCCCCGUCUACCUCUCUUGUAUGAGUGUGUGUGCACGUAAGCUUGAUCGACCCUCUGUAUGAAGGACGGCCAGGGGGUUUUAUAGAUGAACCCCCCGGCCUACAAUAUGGAUAUAAAGUACAAAAGGGGGACCCGGCUGGCAGCCUCUCCAGCUAGCCAGUGGGUCCAUCACUAAGCAAUCUCGUCGUAUGCGGGACCCUUCGACUAUAGGGUCCCAUCAGGACCUGGGACACGCCUGCUAGCCAAUGGGAUUGGUGCGUGCCCCUCACGCGGAGCACGGGUGGAACUGUGGUCUUCGUCCAGCGGAAUCCAGCACUGGUCAGCGGUACGGUCGCCUCCAUUGUAGCUACGCCGAGCGAGGUAAUGGAGUGGUUCGUGGCAGGCGGGCACUAUACACAGUUGAUAGAUUGCAGUCGGCACCAGUUAGUGGUACGGCCGCCACCACUUUAGCCACACGUAUCCCACUCUAUCGAACUCGAGCUGACCUUCCUUCGUCUUCAAGCAAAGGCCUUCGUCGCAUCAAAGGAGCUGAUACAACAGAUGCUCCCCAGCUGGGUAAUGGUUAGCUAUCCCACCAGGGAGUAGAUUGCGAAACCUUAGCCGGUGCUGGCUACGCAGACGGCCAGGGGGAGCCGACAUGCGAGGAGGCUUUCGCCCCAAUCUAUGCCGAAGCACAUGGAGCAGGCCUGAUGAGCCUACCCCGGGGUUAUCCCCCCGUCACCUCUUCCGUCUAGGAUUCUCAAAACCCAAGAGUAACAAGAUCGACAAGGGAUUAGUGGGGGGAAUCAAAUAUCUCUUGGUGGAAGUGUAGAUUGAGGCCUUCUCCUCCAAACCCUUGAAAAUCAACAAGAACCGUUUGCUAGGGCACAAGGUCGGGCAAGAAUGAGCUUGGAGUAACAAUGGAGAUUUUGGAGGAUAAGAGGUGAGUCUCCUCGGGGAACAAGACCCAUUUAUAUAGAGGAGGAGAAAUCUGACCAUUUUCUUCCCAUAAGUCGUGCACGAGCGGUACUUCAGCUUGCACGGAAUUGUAGGCUGGGCUGCCAAUAGACAUGCGUCAGAGGGAGGGGUACUACCGAUCCAACCACUGAUACUACCGCUACUCAUUGACACACCCCUGACAAGACAAUACGACAGUACCGCUCAGGGCAGUACUUCCGCUUCAAACUUCUGCUCAAGAAUAAUUCCUAAACCGGACUGAAAAACGGGAAACGUAAGUGGAAGUGAGGCCGGAAGUAGGGAGCGGCGGUACCGCCCAAGCGAUAGUACCGAUUUACUCCUAGGAGUACUUCCGCUUACCAAGAAUCAAAAUGAUAGCUCCAAAGUGCCGAGGAGGAAAGGAUGAUAGAAAUGUGUAUGUGAGAGAUUCUCCCAACUUUUCCAAAUGUGGACCCCCUCUAGAUAGUACGGAUUAUCCUAUGACUCAAGUUCACCAACUCUAAAUCAUACGAAGUAAUUCGUCUUCUCGUUUAACAUCUGAGGGGAAGAAUAACCGUCUCGUGCCACCUGAUAACCUAUGAAAGCUCAAAGCACACGAUUAAUCCGCAAAGGUGUUGUCAUCAGCCGGCAAAACUUCUUAGGGAAGAUUAUGCUGUUACAUCUACCUUUAGAAGGGUCGACACUCUGUUCAGUUGGAUGCAUAGCUGCAGCUCUCGAGCAUCCGUGUCGAGUUGUUGCGCUCGUGUUUUUGAACCCAGACAAUCAACCAACACAGAUGGCAUGUAGGUUUUUACGCUCCCGAGCGACCCAAACCUGUGUAAAUACCGCGCGCAAUUUGAUCGACUAGUGCUCUUUGCACACUCGGCGCCCCCGCAGACCCGUAAAGGAACCCCACAGGUCCCAUAGAUCAUCGUGGGUCUCUUCCUCCCUCGAUAUCUUUGCCAUGCUAGGUAGGGGCACUUCAAGUGCACAAAUCUUCACCGACAUUUUUGUGUGCCCUCGUCGACGCACAUGGCAUGCAAGAAGGCCAAGGGUGGCCCGGCGGCCGCUCCGUCGAUGUCCAAGCUGCCCACGCUGGUCGCAACGGGCAUGGAAGGCAGAGGCGGACGCCAUGCGCAUCACACCGGCAAGCGCAGCCACAAUAAUGCAUGAAGGUCCGCGAGCCAUGACCAGGACUCCAUUGUUGUGAUGGCGUUGAACGCACCGGCAGCGGCCGGGGCGACGCCACAACCAUGGCAACGGCGACAAUGGAGACGGCUGUAGUCGAACAUUUUCCGCACCCUGCAAAAAACAACUGCGACCCACGCACGCGGGAUGACGACCCGGGGUAGCGCGUGGAUAAUACCCUUGUGCAAGGAACACAAGGCCAAUAUUGAUGGGAUGUUAUUUACUUUUGUGUUGAGCCUGUUAAAAUUGCAAAACCUGUUAGAGAUGAACAUGAUGUGUUAGACAAGAAUAAACUAGUGGUUGGCAUGCCUGUUGUUUCUAUUAAAAUUGGAGAUAAUUGCUAUUAUGGUUUGUGUGAUAUGAGUGCAAGUGUGACUGCUAUUCCUUUUACUUUAUAUCUAGAAAUUAUGAAUGAUAUAGCACCCUUUGAGGUUGAAGACGUUGAUGUUACUAUUAAACUUGGCAAAGAGAUAUAUUAUUUUACCACUUGGGAUUGUUCGAGAUGUUGAAGUCUUGUGUGGACAAGUCAACUUUCCUACUCAUUUGUUAGUACUUGGUUCACUACAAGAUAAUUUUGUCCCAUUAUAUUUGGUAGACCUUUCUUGAAUACCAUUAAUGCUGAAAUUGAUUGUGUGAAAGAAAAUGUUAGAGUAAGUUUCAGUGAUGCAUCUCCUGAGUUUAAUUUCUUUAAGUUUCAUAGACAACCACAUGAGAAAGAACUAUCUAGUAAAUAUGAAAUUAUUGGUCUUGAUUCUUUUUUCAUGCCUCCUAUUGGUCCGUUAGAACAAUAUUUGCUAGACCAUGAAAAUGAUAUGAAAAUCGAUGGAAGAAGUGAAAUUUAUGAGAUAUUCUUAAAACAUGCACCUAUCCCUUAACAUAAUUUGCCGGUAGUCAUUCUAGGAGACCCCCAAGGGAGAUCCCAUGUAAUAAUUAAAGAAACUACAUGAUACAAUAAAAUAUGCUUAUCUUGACGAAAACAAGAUAUAUCCUGUUAUUAUUAGUGGUAACAUUUCAGAGCAUGAAGAAAAGAGAUUACUCAAAACUCUCAAGAAGUACGGAGCUUCUAUUGGAUAUACUUUCGAUGAUUUUCAGGGAAUUAGCACCACCUUAUGUCUAUAUGAUUAAUAUGGAACCAUAUGCUUAACCCAUCGUUGGCCAUCAACACCGUAUGUAUCUUCAAAUGAAAGAAGUGGUAAGGAUCGGAAUAUUAAAGCUUCUGGAGGCAGGUAUAAUUUAUCCCAUAGCUGAUAGUAGAUGGGUAAGUCUUGUUCAUUGUGUUCCUAAGAAAGGAUGUAUAACCGUUGUUCCGUAUGAUAAAAAUGAACUUAUCCCACAAAGAAUUAUAUAUGUGUACAUGAUGGAAAUUGAUUUCAGAAAUUAAACAAAGCUACUAGAAAUUAUCAUUACCACUGUCCUUUUAUUGAUAAAAUGUUAGAAAUAUUAUCUAAGCACACACACUUUUGCUUCCUUGAUGGAUAUUCUGGUUUUUCUCAAAUAGUUAUGUCAAAUGAAGAUCAAGAGAAAACUACUUUUACCUGUCCUUUUCGAAUAUGCUUAUAGGUAUAUGCCUUUUCGUUUAUGUAAUGCACCCGCUACUUUUCAAAGAUGUAUGACUGCUAUAUUCUCUGACUUCCGUGAAAAGAUUGUUGAGUUAUUCAUCGAUGAUUUUUCUGUUUUCGGGACUUCUUUUGAUGAUUGCUCAAGGAACCUUGUCCGAGUUUUUCAGAGAUACGAAGAAACUAAUCUUCCCGUGAAUCAAGAGAAGUGCCAAUUUAUGGUAAAUGAAGUCAUAGUACUUGGUCAUAAACUUUCAGAAGAAGGUAUAGAGGUAGAUAAAGCUAAAGUUGAUGCAACUAAGAACAUGCCAUGUCCUAAAGAUAUAAAAGGUAUAGGAAGUUUCCUUGGCUAUGUUGGUUUCUAUAGAAUAUUCAUUAAAGAAUUCUCAAAGAUUUCUAGGCCACUAACUAAUCACCUUCAAAAGUAUGUUCCAUUUGUUUUUUAUGAUGGUUGUGUAGAAGCCUUCGAAAUACUUAAAGAGGCUUUAAUUUCUGCACCUAUUGUUCAACCACCUAAUUGGAACUUACCAUUUGGAAUUAUGUGUGAUGCUAGUGAUUAUCCUAUUGAUGUUGUUCUAGGGAAAAUGGUAGACAGGAAAUUGAAUGUUAUUCACUAUGAUAGUAAGACUCUAGACAAUGCUCAAAUAGAUUGUCCUACUAGUGAGAAAGAAUGUUUAGCUGUUGUGUUUCAAUGUGAUAAGUUUAGACCUUAUAUUGUUGAUUCUAAAGUUACUAUUCACACUGAUCAUGCUGCUAUUAAAUACCUAAUGGAAAAGAAAGAUGCUAAGCAUAGACUAGUUAGGUGAGUUCUUUUACUUUAAGAAUUUGACUUGUGUAUCAUUGAUAAAAAGGGAGUUCAAAAUCAUGUAGUAGAUAAUUUGUCUAGGAUGGAAAAUGUUCUUGAUGACCCAUUGCCUAUUGACGAUAGUUUUCCUGAUGACCAAUUAGUUGUUAUAAAUGCUUCUUUAAUACUCCUUGGUAUGGAGAUUAUGCUAAUUACAUUGUUGCUAAAUAUAUACCAUCUAGUUUCACAUACCAACAAAAGAGAAAGUUCUUCUUUGAUUUAAGACAACACCUUUUGGAAUGACCCACAUCUAUAUAAAGAAGGAGUAGAUGGUGUUAUUCGACGGUGUGUACUGUACGUCCAUUUUGCAUCAUGUUUUCAUGUUGUUACUUAUCGCUUCUUUGGCUGUUAUUUCACUUCACGGUACUAUUCUUAUGCCUUUUCUCUCUUAUUUUGCAAGGUUUACAUGAAGAGGGAGAAUACCGGCAACUGGAAUUCUGGCCUGAAAGUGGAGCAAAGUUGAGAUACCUAUUCUACACAACUCCAAACGCCGUGAAAAUUAACGGAGAUUUUUUUCCCAAAUUAUCAAAAAUACUAAGCCGAAGAAGUGCCAGAGGGGAACCAGGGGGUGCCCACAAGCCUGCAUGGCGCGGCCACUCCCAGGCCGCGCCAUGGGGGCUUGUGGGCAGCCCACUGGCCCACUACCCCCCUCUUUUGCUAUAUGGAUGGUUUUGUCCAGGAAAAAAUUAGGAGGGAGCUUUUUCGUGGUUUCUCCGCCGCCACGAGGCGGAACUUGAGCAGAACCAAUCUAGAGCUCCGGCAGGACGAUCCUGCCGGGGAAACUUCACUCUCGGAGGGGGAAAUCGUCGCCAUCGUCAUCACCAACACUCCUCUCAUCGCAGGGGACUCAUCUCCAUCAACAUCUUCAUCAUCACCAUCUCAUCUCCAAACCCUAGUUCAUCACUUGUAACCAAUCUCCGUCUCGCGACUCCGAUUGGUACUUGUAAGGUUGCUAGUAGUAUUGAUUACUCUUUGUAGUUGAUGCUAGUUGGAUUAUUUCGUGGAAGUGAUUAUGUUCAGAUCCUUGAUGCUACUCAUUACCUCUCUGAUCAUGAUUAUGAUUAUGCUUUGUGAGUAGUUACUUUUGUUCCUGAGGACAUGGGAUAAGUCAUGCUAAUAGUAGUCAUGUGAAUUUGGUAUUCGUUUGGUAUUUUGAUAUGUUGUAUGUUGUUUUUCCUGUAGUGGUGUUAUGUGAACGUCGACUACAUAAUACUUUACAAUUAUUUGGGCCUAGAGGAAGGCAUUGGGAAGUAGUAAGUAGAUGAUGGGUUGCUAGAGUGACAGAAGCUUAAACCCUAGUUUAUGUGUUGCUUCGCAAGGGGCUGAUUUGGAUCCACUAGUUUAAUGCUAUGGUUAGACUUUGUCUUAAUUCUUCUUUCAUAGUUGCGGUUGCUUGUGAGAGGGGUUAAUCAUAAGCGGGAUGCUUGUACAAGUAAGGGAAGUACCCAAGCGUCGGUCCACCCACAUAUCAAACUAUCAAAGUAACGAACGCGAAUCAUAUGAACAUGAUGAAACUAGCAUGACAGAAAUUCCCGUGUGUCCUCGGGGGCGUUUUUCCUCCUAUAAGACUUUGUCCAGGCUUGUCCCUUGCUACAAAAGGGAUUGGGCCACUUUGCUGCAUCGUUUCUACUUUUGUUACUUGUUGCUUGCUACGAAUCAUCUCACCACACAAUCACUUGUUACCGACAAUUUCAGUGCUUGCAGAUAUUUCCUUGCUGAAAACCACUUGUCAGAUCCUUCUAUUCCUUGUUGGGUUCGACACUCUUACUUAUUGAAAGGACUACGAUUGAUCCCCUAUACUUGUGGGUCAUCAAGACUCUUUUCUGGCGCCGUUGCGGGGGAGUGAAGCGCCUUCGGUAAGUGGAACUUGGUAAGGACACAUUCAUAUAGUGUGCCAAAAUUUCUUGUCACUUGUCACUAUGGAUACUAAUCCUUUGAGGGGCUUGUUCGGGGUAUCUUCACCUUGAACGGAAGCACAAAUAGUUGCUCCUCAACCUGCUGCACCUACUGAAUUUUUUUGCUUUGAGUUUCCUUCGGGUAUGCUUGAGAAACUGCUGGCUAAUCCUUUUACAGGAGAUGGAACAUCACAUCCAGACUUGCAUCUAAUCUAUGUAGAUGAAGUUUGUGGUUUAUUUAAGCUUGCAGGUGUGCUCGAGGAUGAGGUCAAGAAGAAGGUCUUUCCUUUAUGUUUGAAGGAUAAGGCGUUGACAUGGUAUAGGCUAUGUGAUGAUACUGGAUCAUGGGACUACAAUCGAGAAAGCAUCGCUCAAGCUUGGGGGAGGCUUAAAUCAAUGCUAUAUUCAUGCCCCAAUCAUGAGCUCUUGAGAGAAAUUAUCAUUCAGAACUUCUAUGCUCGGCUUUCUCAUGAUGAUCGCACCAUGCUUGACACUUCUUGUACCGAUUCUUUUAUGAAGAGAGAUAUUGACUUCAAAUGGAAUUUAUUGGAGAGAAUUAAACGCAACUCUGAAGAUUGGGAGCUUGAAGAAGGUAAGGAGUCAGGUAUGAAUUUCACGUUUGAUUGCGUUAAAUCCUUUGUUGAGACAAAUACCUUUAGUGAGUUUAGCGCUAAGUAUGGACUUGACUCUGAGAUAGUAGCUUCAUUGUGUGAAUCCUUUGCUGCUCAUAUUGAUCUCCCCAAAGAGAAGUGGUUUAAAUUUCAUCGUCCUUUAGAAGUCAAUGUAGUUAAACCCACUCCAGUUGAAGAGAAAGUCAUUGCAUAUAAUGAUCCUGUGGUUCCCAGUGCUUACAUUGAGAAACCACCUUUCCCUGUUAGGAUAAAGGAUCAUUCUAAAGCUUCAACUGUGAUACGUAGAGGCUAUAUUAGAACACCUACACCCCCUGAGCAAAUUAGAGUUGAACCUAGCAUUGCUAUUAUCAAAGAUCUUCUAUCUGAGGAAGUUGAGGGACAUAAUAUUCACUUUAGUGAAGAUGCUGCUAGAAUUGCUAGACCUCACAUUAGAGACAAACAUAGGCCUGUUGUUGGCAUGCCUGUGGUUUGUGUUAAGAUAGGAGAUCAUUGUUAUCAUGGCUUAUGUGACGUGGGUACUAGUGUUAGUGCAAUACCUCAAUCCUUAUAUGAUGAAAUCAAAGAUGAGAUUGCACCUGUUGAGAUAGAACCUAUUGAUGUCACUAUUCAGCUUGUCAAUAGAGAUACUAUCUGCCGUGUGGGAAUUGUUAGGGAUGUUGAAGUCUUGUGUGGUAAAACGAAGUAUCCUGCUGAUUUCCUCGUUCUUGUUACUGCACAAGAUAGCUUUUGUCCCAUCAUAUUUGGCAGACCCUUCCUCAAUACCGUCAAUGCUCAUAUUGACUGUGAGAAGCAAACUGUCACUGUUGGCUUUGAAGGUGUGUCACAUGAGUUCAAUUUCUCUAAGUUUGGUAGACAACCUCAUGAAAAGGAGUUGCCUAGUAGGGAUGAAACUAUUGCCUUAGCCUCUAUUGCCGUGUCUCCUACUGAUCCCUUAGAGCAAUACUUGCUUGAGCAUGAAAAUGAUAUGCGUAUGGAUGAAAGGGAUGAGAUAGAUAGAGUUGUCUUAGAACAAUAUCCUAUCCUUAAGAAUAACUUGCCUGUUGAACUGCUUAGGGAUCCACCCCCACCAAAGGGUGAUCAUGUGUUAGAGUUUAAACAGUUGCCUGAUACUCUUAAGUAUGCCUAUCUUGAUGAAAAGGAGAUAUAUCCUGUUAUUAUUAGUGCUAGCCUUUCAGAGCAUGAAGAAAAGAAGUUACUAAAAACUCUGAGGAAGCACCGUGCUGCUAUUGGAUAUACUCUUGGUGAUCUUAAGGGCAUUAGUCCUACCCUAUGCCAGCACAAGAUCAAAACUGAUCCUGAAUUCAAACCAGUUGUUGAUCAUGAAAGGAGAUUGAAUCCUAAGAUGAAAGAAGUACUAAGAAAAGAAAUACUAAAGCGCCUGGAAGCGGGUAUUAUCUAUCAUGUUGCUCAUAGCAAUUGGUUGAGUCCGGUGCAUUGCGUCCCUAAAAAGGGAGGCAUUACCGUUGUCCCUAAUGAUAAGGAUGAAUUGAUCCCAUAGAGGAUUAUUACUGGCUAUAGGAUGGUGAUUGAUUUUAGGAAGUUGAAUAAAGCCACUAGGAAAGAUCAUUACCCUUUGCCUUUUAUCGACAAAAUGCUAGGAAGGCUGUCCAAACACACACACUUCUGCUUUCUAGACUGUUAUUCUGGUUUCUCCCAAGUACCAGUUGCACAAUCUGAUCAGAAGAAAACCACUUUCACCUGCCCUUUCGGUACCUUUGCUUAUAGACGUAUGCCUUUUGGCUUAUGUAAUGCACCUGCCACCUUUCAAAGAUGUAUGAUGGCUAUAUUCUCUGACUUUUGCGAAAAGAUUGUUGAGGUUUUCAUGGAUGACUUCUCUGUUUACGGGUCUUCCUUUGAUGAUUGCCUCAGCAACCUUGAUCGAGUCUUGCAAAGAUGUAAAGACACCAAUCUUGUCUUGAAUUGGGAGAAGUGCCACUUUAUGGUUAAUGAAGGCAUCGUCUUAGGACAUCAAAUUUCUGAAAGAGGUAUUGAAGUCGAUAAGGCUAAGGUUGAUGCAAUCGAGAAAAUGCCAUACCCCACAGAUAUCAAAGGGAUAAGAAGUUUCCUUGGUCAUGCUGGUUUCUAUAGAAGGUUCAUCAAAGACUUCUCUAAGAUUUCUAGGCCUAUUACCAAUCUCUUGCAAAAGGAUAUUCCUUUUGUUUUUGACGAUGAUUGUGAGGAAGCCUUCGAAAUACUUAAGAGGGCUUUGAUAACUGCACCUAUUGUUCAACCACCUGAUUGGAACUUACCUUUUGAGAUCAUGCGUGACGCUAGUGAUUAUGUUGUUGGUUCUUUUCUAGGGCAAAGAGUUGAUAAGAAGUUGAAUGUUAUUCACUACGCUAGUAAAACUCUAGAUAGUGCCCAGAGAAACUAUGCCACUACGGAGAAGGAAUUUUUAGCAGUCGUGUUUGCAUGUGAAAACUUUAGGUCUUAAUAGUUGAUUCCAAAGUCACUAUUCACAUUGAUCACGCUGCUAUUAAGUACCUCAUGGAGAAGAAGGAUGCUAAACCUAGACUUAUCAGAUGGGUUCUCUUUCUACAAGAAUUUGAUUUGCACGUUGUCGACAGAAAGGGUGUUGAUAACCAAGUAGCAGAUAACUUGUCUAGGUUGGAGAACGUUCUUGAUGACCCACAACCUAUUGAUGAUAGCUUUCGCGAUGAGAAAUUGAAUGUCAUCAAUGCUUCACGCAGUGCACCGUGGUAUGCUGAUUAUGCAAACUAUAUCGUUGCCAAAUACAUACCACCUAGUUUCACGUACCAGCAAAAGAAGAAAUUCUUCUUUGAUUUGAGACAUUACUUCUGGGAUGAUCCUCACCUUUAUAAGGAAGUUGUAGAUGGUGUUAUUAGACGUUGUGUACCUGAACAUGAACAGGGACAAAUCCUACAAAAGUGUCACUCCGAGGCCUACGGAGGACACCAUGCGGGAGAUAGAACUGCACACAAGGUAUUGCAAUCAGGUUUCUAUUUGCUCACUUUCUUCAAGGAUACACGUAAGUUUGUCUUGUCUUGUGACGAAUGUCAAAGAAUAGGUAAUAUUAGAAAAUGUCAGGAAAUGCCUAUGAAUUAUUCACUUGUCAUUGAACCAUUUGACGUCCGGGGCUUUGAUUAUAUGGGACCUUUUCCAAAAUCCAACGGGUAUACGCAUAUCUGAGUUGUUGUUGAUUAUGUCACUAAGUGGGUAGAAGCUAUCCCCACUAGUAGUGCUGGUCACAAAACCUCUAUCAAGAUGCUGAAAGAAGUUAUCUUCCCUAGAUUUGAAGUCCCUAGAUAUCUAAUGACCGACGGUGGUUCACACUUCAUUCAUGGUGCUUUCCGCAAGACGCUUGCUAAGUACGAUGUCAACCAUAGAAUUGCGUCUCCCUAUCACCCUCAGUCCAGUGGUCAAGUAGAGCUAAGUAAUAGAGAGAUUAAACUGAUUCUGCAAAAGACUGUCAACAGGUCUAGAAAGAAUUGGUCUAAGAAGCUCGAUGAUGCACUGUGGGCUUAUAGAACUGCCUAUAAGAAUCCCAUGGGCAUCUUCAUACAAAAUGGUGUACGGUAAAGCAUGUCAUUUACCUCUUGAGCUCGAGCAUAAAGAUUAUUGGGCAAUCAAAGAGCUCAACUUUGAUUUCAAACUUGCCGGUGAGAAGAGGUUAUUUGACAUUAGCUCGCUUGAUGAGUGGAGAACUCAAGCAUAUGAGAAUGCCAAGCUUUUCAAAGAGGCGGUUAAGAGGUGGCAUGAUAAUAGGAUACAAAAGCGUGAGUUCCAUGUAGGUGAUUAUGUCUUGCUAUAUAACUCUCAGUUAAGAUUCUUUGAAGGCAAACUUCUCUCUAAAUGGGAAGGUCCCUAUGUUGUUGAGGAAGUAUAUCGUUCCGGUGCUAUCAAGAUCAACAACGCGGAAGGUAAUUGUCCGAGAGUGGUAAAUGGGCAGAGAAUCAAGCAUUAUAUCUCAGGUACUCCCAUAAAUGUUGAAAGCAAUAUCAUCAAUACUAUAACUCCGGAAGAAUAGCUAAGGGAUAUUUCUCAGCCUGUUUCAGACUCCGAAAACGAAGAGGUAUGUGAUUCGGUAAGAAAACAGAGUCCAAAACUUUUCUAGUAGGAAAUUUUCUCCGUUUUGGAAUCUUUGAAAAAAUAUAAAAAUUGGAAGUAGUCCGGAAAGUGCGCGAGGAGGCGACAAGCCUGCACGGCGCGGGCCCACCCCCUGGCCGCGCCGUGAGGGCUUGUGGCCUCCUCGUGCGCCUCCCGGACUCCGUUUUUGUGCAGGGUACUCCUUCUGUUCUGGCAAAAAUCAUUAUAUAUACUUACGUUUGGUCUGACCCCUGCAUCACACAGAUUUCCUCUGUUUUUCGUUUCGAGCUUGUUUGUGUUGCAGAUCUAGAUUGCCAUGACUUCCCCAAAAGCUCCGAAGGACAAGAUUUUCGAGAAGGUCAUCAAUCCCUACCUCACGGGAGUGCUGCAACACCCUCAAUCUAUCGAGAUGCGUGAGGGGAUGUUGCAUAUCCGUAAUGUUGAGGGGCCUAAGAAGACCGGAAGCGUGGAGACGAGGCUCGAAGCAAUGGAGCAACAAGCCUUCAAGUGCCAAGGGAUGGUGGAGAGUGGACUCAACGCCAACCACAUGAUGAUCACAGAGUUCACCAACAAGCACAGGAUUAAUGCCAAUGACAUUGGGAAGCACCUCUCCGGGCUCUAUGACAGGGUUGAUCAACCCCAGGGCCAGAUCUAUGACCUGUACAACCAAAACUGUCAGUAUGAGUAUAGAUUUAAAUCAAUAAGGUUGGCUGCAGAUUUGAGGAUUCCGGAGACUCGUUCAUCUUUCCAUGAUGGAGCACCUAUGCCUUGGAAGACGGAGGAUCAAACUCAUGUUGCAACAACUCCACCAUCACCACCAAAGGAAGACAACUGAGCAUUGGUAUGGCAAUCCCCUUGGCUUGUGCCAAGCUUGGGGGAGUUGCCCCAGUAUCGUAUCACCAUCACAUCUUUUGCCUUUACCUUUGUUUUUAGUUUUCCUUUUCAGUUUUCUUUUGAUCUAGUAGUUUAAAAGUCUUAGUGUUUUACUCUUUAGUUUUGCUUUGUGUCACCCCCGAUGUAUUCUUGCUCGUGAGCCAUAUAAUAAAAAGUUUCUUAGUUGAAGGGCUUUGCCUCUUGCCAUGAUCAAAAGAGUGAGAAUAGAACAAAAGCAUGAAAGAUCAUGUAAUUAUCUUAUGGGAAGUGAUGGAUUCACAUAUAAAAAGAAUGAGGAUUGAAACUUGUUGAGGGUAGGCAAACGUAGACCAUGGUCAUGGUUGCAAUUAUUAGGAAGUGAUAAAGAAGGAGAGGUUCACAUAUAAAUAUAUCAUCUCUGACACCAUCUAUGAUUGUGAACACUCACCAAACUAUUGCAUGCCUAGAAGUAGAUGUUGGACAAGGAAGACAACAUAAUGAAUUGUGUUUGCUUGGCUCUAAACAAUGUUAUAUGAUUAGAGAGCCCUUAGCAUGCGACGAUUGCUUCCACCUCAUAUUAGCCAAAACCUCCCACACCAAGUAGAGAUACUACUUGUGCAUCCAUAAACCUUCAAACCAGUUUUUCCAUGAGAGUCCACCAUACCUACCUAUGGAUUGAAUAAGAUCCCUCAAGUAAGUUGUCAUCGGUGCAAGCAACAAAAAUUGCUCUCUAAUAUGUAUGAUCUAUUGGUGUGUGGAAAAUAAGCUUUGUACAAACCUGUGAUGAGGAAGACAUAAAAGCGACAGACUGCAUAAUAAAGUUCUUUAUCACAGGAGGCAAUAUAAAGUGACGUUCCUCCGCACUAAGAGGACACGCAUCCAAACCUCAAAAGCACAUGACAACCUCUGCUUGCCUGUGCGAAGGGCCUAUCUUGUACCUUUACUUUUUGUCCCUGAAAGAGUCAUGAUGAUCUUCACCAAUUCCUUAUUUUGCCUUUGUCUUGGCUACCGUCACAUGCUUGGAGGUAGGCAUUCAUGAAUUAUUAUUGUUGGAGGUAGGCCUUUGUCCUAAUGGAAAGAUCUAUAUUCAUAUGUCAACUUGGAGGUAGGCAUUCAUGAAUUAUUAUUGUUGACGUUACCCUUGAGGUAAGCAGUUGGGAGGAAAAACUGUAAAGCCCCUAUCUUUCUCUGUGUCUAGCUGAAACUUUGAUCUCAUGAGUACCACGUGAGUUGUAGCAAUUGUAGAGAACGAAAGAAUGAUUGAGUAUGUGGAUUUACUUUACAAUCUCUUAUUUGACUCUUUGUGAUGUUGUGAUAAGUUGUAAUUGCUUCAAUGACUAAAGGCUAACGGUUGUUACUUCUCGGUAUGGUUCUUGAUCCGUGCUUUACUUUGUGAAGGAAUUGUCACUUUAGCAUGAGAGAUUAUAUGUUGGUAUUGCUGUUCUGAUCUAGAUCAUGAUGCAUGCAUGUUCGUAUCUUGUUUUCUUGACACCUCUCUCCCUAAACAUGUGGACAUAUUUAUUGAGCUCGGCUUUCGCUUGAGGACAAGCCAGGUCUAAGCUUGGGGGAGUCGAUACAUCCAUUUUGCAUCAUGUUUUCAUGUUGUUAUUUAUCGCUUCUUUGGCUGUUAUUUCACUUCACGGUACUAUUCUUAUGCCUUUUCUCUCUUAUUUUGCAAGGUUUACAUGAAGAGGGAGAAUACCGGCAACUGGAGUUCUGGCCUGAAAGUGGAGCAAAGUUGAGAUACCUAUUCUGCGCAACUCCAAACGCCGUGAAAAUCAACGAAGAUUUUUUCCCAAUUUAUCAAAAAUACUGGGCCGAAGAAGUGCCAGAGGGGCACCAGGGGGUGCCCACAAGCGUGCAUGGCGCGGCCACCCCCCCCCCCAGGCCACGCCAUGGGGGCUUGUGGGCAGCCCACUAGCCCACUGCCCCCUCUUUUGCUAUAUGGAGGGUUUUGUCGAGGAAAAAAUCAGGAGGGAGCUUUUUCGUGGUUUCGCCGCCGCCACGAGUCGGAACUUGAGCAGAACCAAUCUAGAGCUCCGGCAGGACGAUCCUGCCGGGGAAACUUCACUCCCGAAGGGGGAAAUCGUCGCCAUCGUCAUCACCAACACUCCUCUCAUCGGAGGGGACUCAUAUCCAUCAACAUCUUCAUCCACACCAUCUCAUCUCCAAACCCUAGUUCAUCACUUGUAACCAAUCUCCGUCUCGCGACCCCGACUGGUACUUGUAAGGUUGCUAGUAGUGUUGAUUACUCUUUGUAGUUGAUGCUAGUUGGAUUAUUUGGUCGAAGAGAUUAUGUUCAGAUCCUUGAUGCUACUCAUUACCUCCCUGAUCAUGAUUAUGAUUAUGCUUUGUGAGUAGUUACUUUUGUUCCUGAGGACAUUGGAUAAGUCAUGCUAAUAGUAGUCAUGUGAAUUUGGUAUUCGUUCGGUAUUUUGAUAUGUUGUAUGUUGUUUUUCCUCUAGUGAUUAUAUGUGAACGUCGACUACAUAACACUUUACCAUUAUUUGGGCCUAGAGGAAGGCAUUGGGAAGUAGUAUGUAGAUGAUGGAUUGCUAGAGUGACAGAAGCUUAAACCCGGAGUGACAAUAGCCGGAACCACUCCCGGAGAUGACCAUAGUAUGAGGAGUUCAUGUAUUCACUAAGUGCUAAUGAUUUGUUCCGGUUCUCUAUUAAAAGGAGACCCUUAAUAUCCCUUAGUUUCCAUUAGGACCCCGCUGCCAUGGGAGGGAUGGACAAUAGAUGGCAUGCAAGUUCUUUUCCAUAAGCACAUAUGACUAUAUACGGAAUGCAUGCCUACAUUACAUUGACGAACUGGAGCUAGUUACAUAUCUCCCCAUGUUAUCACUAUUACAUGAUGAAUGUCAUCCGACAUAAUUAUCCAUCACCGACACAAUGCCUACGAGCUUUUCCUACUGGUCCUUGCUACGUUACUGUUACCGCUACUGCUGUCACUGUUGCUACUGUUACCGCUACUACUGGCACUACUGUUACUGUUACCGAUGCUACCGUUACUAUCACACUACUUUUCUACUGAAACUUUGUUGCAGAUACUAAGUCUUUCAGGUGUGGUUCAAUUGACAACUCAACUGCUAAUACUCGAGAAUAUUCUUUGGCUUCCCCUUGUGUCGAAUCAACAAAUUUGGGUUGAAUACUUUACCCUCAAAAACUAUUGCGACCCCCUAUACUUGUGGGUUAUCAGUCAUCAACCCUUACUUGUUAGAGGUGAUGAAGCACCCUCAAGCAAUUCAGAUACGUGAGGGGGUGCUCCACAUCCAGGAUGUUCAUGGGCCCAAGAAGAGGGGAACCAUGGAGGCCAGGCUUGAGGCGGUGGAGGAGGAGAUCUUUAGGUGUCAAGGCAUGGUGGAGCGUGGACUCAGUGCCAAUUACUCCAUGAUCACAUAAUUCACCCAUGAUCAAAAGGUGGAUGGACGGUCCUUGAAGGAUAGCAUAUUCUCCCUCAACGAGCAAAUCAAUUUUUUGCACUAACAAAUCUUCGAUCUUCAAAACCAAAUAUUUGAGUACGAAGCAAGAUUUAAAUGUAUGGGUUUAUGUGCCAAUUGCAGUACUCUGGAGACUCAUGCUUCCUCUUAUGACAGUGAGCCACUUCCAUGGAAAUCGGGGGACAUGUUUGCUUCUACCUCAUCAUCUACACCACCACCUUCAUCUUCCUCACCAAACAAGGAGACUUGAGCACACGGGUAUGGGCACUCCCCUUGGAUUGUGCCAAGUCUGGGUGAGGUGCCCCAUUAUCGUAUCACCAUCACUCUUAGUAUCUUUAUCCAUCUUAGUUCGAUCUUUAGUUAUUUUGUGAUUUAGUGAAAUAAAAGUUUAGUUCGAUCCAUCUUUUUAAGUGUUGGUUUCGUGAUCUAUCUAUCUAUGUAAUUGAGUGAGGCUUAUAUAAUAAAGUUUAGUUUGAGUCUUUGCUUCUUUACGUUCUUGUUGCAAUGAAAAUAAAGGAAAAUAAUGAACAAAAUCAUAUGCUAAUAUUAUAGUAAGUAGUGACACCACAUAAGAAGAAGUAUAAGCGGUAAAAUUUGUUGAAGGUUGACAAACACAUCACUAGUCUCUGAUGCAACACAUGAAAGAAUUAAUAAGGGAAGAGAAGAUUUACAUGCAAAAACACUAUCCUUGACAUGUUUUAUGAUUGUGAGACCCCAUUAGUUAUAGUAUGCCAAAACUGUUGGUGUUGCACAAGGAAGAGAAUGUAAUGAUUUAUGCUUGUUCACAUUCACGUGGAAGUUAUAUUGUUAUAGAUCCUCUAACAUGUGGCGCUUUCCCAAUAUCUUUGCUAGCCAAAACUCCGCAUUAAGUAGAGAUACUACUUAUGCAUCCAAAACCUUAAACCCAAAUCCAUGUUUUAAGAGUGCACCAUACCUACAUAUGGAUUGAGUAAGAUUCUUCAAGUAAGUUGUCAUCGGUGCACAAGGCAAUAAAAAUUGCUUCUAAACAUGUUCGAACAUUUAGUGUAAGGGAAGUUAAGAGUUGUAUGAACUUGUGAUGGCGAUAAUAAAAGCGAUAAACAACAUAAUAAAGGUUGCUAUCAUAAGGGGCAAUAUAACAUAACAUUCCUUUGUACUAAGGGAUUUGUCAUACAACCAAAAAGCACAUGACAACCUAUGCUUCCCUCUACGAAGGGCAAAUCUUUUACUUUUACAUAUUUACUUUUAUUCAAGAAUCAAAGUAUUCUUCUCUACUCAUUUUUAUUUGCUCUUUUGCAAGCAUCAUGUGGUGGGGAAAGAUCUAGGCAUAUAUAUCCAGUUGAAUGUGGGUGGUCAUAAAUUAUUAUUGUUGACAUCACCCUUGAGGUGAAUACGUUCGGAGACGACACUUUAAGCCCCUAUAUUUCUAUGUGUCUGAUUGAAAGCUUUUGCUCAUAUGUAUGUGGUGGGUGUUAGCAAUUAUACAAGAGUAAAUGAUGGUUGAGUUUGUAGACUUGCUUACAAGCUCCGAUAUGUGACCCUUCCUGAAAAUGUGAUGAAUUGUGUUGAAAAGUUGACUGAAAACAUACUUUCUUAGUUUUCCGUAGGGUUUAUGCUUCAUACUUCGAUGUUGUGAUGAAUUGUUACUUGUUUAUGAGAAGUUUUUAUGAUGAAAAUUAUGUGAUAAAGUAUAUGAUGAAGUUUAUUUUCGGUUAUAAUAAUGAGAAUAAUGCUACUGUGUUUGUAUUUUGUUUUUAUUGACACCUCUCUCUCAAAGCAUGUGGUCAUGAUUUUGGUUAUCGGCUUUUGCUUGAGGACAAGCGAGGUCUAAUCUUAGGGGAAUUGGUACGUCCAUUUUUCAUCAUGAUUUUCUACUUUUAUUUAUAGUGUUUGUAUGCAUUAUACCACUUUAUGGAGAAAUUCUAAUGCCUUUUAUCUCAUAAUAUGCAAGGUUUACACCAUGAGGGAGAACGCAAGCAGAUGGAAUUCUGGACCUGAAAAAACUACAUGAGAAAUACCUAUUCUGCACAUAUCCAAAUGGGCAAAAUAUUCAGAGGGAUAUUUUACAGAAUAAAUAAAAAAUACUUGAAGAAAGAAGUACCAGAGGGGGGCUGCUAGGUGGCCACUCGGCACUAGGGUGCGCCACCCCCCCCCCCCCCGGCAUGCCCUGGUGGGUAGUGGUCCACCUGACCAUCUUCUGGUAUAUAUUCACGUUUGACCUAGAAAAAAAUAAGGAGCGGACUUUCGGGAGGGAGUGCCACCGUCUUGAGGCGGAACUUGGGCUGGAGCACUUUUCCCCUCCGGCGGAGCGAUUACGUCGGGAAACUUCCCUCCCAAAGGGUGAAAUCGAGGGCACCGUCAUCACCAACAACCCUCUCACCUUGGGGAGUCCAAUCUUCAUCAACAUAUUCAACAACACCAUCUCCUCUCAAAACCUAGUUCAUCUCUUCUGUUCAAUCUUGUACCGGAACCUCAGAUUGGUACGUGGGGAUUACUAGUAGUGUUGAUUACAUCUUGUUGUUAAUGCUUUGUAGUUUAUUUGGUGGAAUAUCAUAUGUUCAGACCCAAUAUUCUAUUUAAUACCCCUCUAAUCAUGAGCAUGUUCAUCACUUGUGAGUGGUUACUUUUGUUCUUGAGGCCACAGGAGAAGUCAUCUUGCAAGUAGUCAUGUGAAGUUGAUAUUCGUUCAAUAUUUUGAUGGUAUGAAUGUUGUGAUUCCCUUCAUGGAAUUAUGUGAACAUCGACUACAUAAUACUUUACCAUCUUUGGGCCUAAAGGAAUGCAUUGUGGAGUAGUUAUUUGAUGAUGGGUUGCGGAGUGACAGAAACUUAAAUCCAAGUUUAUGCGCUACUCCGUAAGGGGCUGAUUUGGAUCUGUAUGUUUAAUCAUAUGGUUAGAAUAUAUUCUUAAUACUUUUCUCAUAGUUGCAAAUGCUUGCGGGCGGGUUAAUCAUAAGUAGGGAGCUUGUUCAAGUAAGAAUAGAACCCAAGCACCGUUUCGCCCACAUAUCAAAUUAUCAAAGUACCAAACGCGAAUUAAACCGACAUGACGAAAGUCACUAUAUGAAAUUCCCGUGUGCCCUCAAGAAUGCUUUGCCUAUUAUAAGAAACUAUUCCAGUUUGUCCUUUGCCAAAAAAGGAUUGGCUACCUUUCUGCACUUAUCAUUACUAUUGCUACUCGUUGCUUGUUACAAUUAUCUUCCUAUCAAGCAACUUGUUACCUCUAUUUCAAUGCUUGCGAAAUUACCUUGUUGAAAACCGCUUGUCAUUUCCUUCUUUUCCUUGUUGGGUUUGACACAAUUACUUAUCUAAACGACUACGACCGAUCUUCUAUACUUGUGGUCAUUAGGUACCUGUACCUGUGGUGUUGUAGUAAUUUGUGAGCCACGGGGAGUCAACAAUCUUGCGACCAUGAUAUCAAGACUAAUUAAGUUAUUGGGUGCGGCAUGGUUAAGUGGUGAGGUUGGAGCAACACUAAGCAAUAUUUGGUGGAUAUCUUACGAGAACAUAAUUUAAAUUGGGCAGUUUACGAAUAAACAGGCGUGAGAUGAAAAUGAUCUAGAGGUGAUCCUGAACACCUACUUACGUCAGACAUAACCCCAUCGUGUCCUGAGUCGGAGUAGAAACUAACGAGCACAGACAAUCAUAGUUACGCACAUAGUUGGCAGGUUUUAAUUGAGUUUACUUCAAUUUUUCUAUAACUAGAUGUUAAACAAAUUUCCAAGUUGCCACAUAACCGCAUGCAUGGCUUUCAGAAAGAUAUUAACCCUGUAGGGAUGCUCCAACUAGUCCAUCACAAACUAUCACAAGCUGCUCUGGAGAGAAAACCUCAACCUCAAGGUAGCCCAACGUAUCACCGAUAUCCGAGUGGACAAGACAUUAAUAAAGAGUAAAAAAAUUCCAGCAAGACCGCCCAGUAGGCUAGAUCCCAAUAGGACCCACACGUAUCUCUUUCUCACGGCACUACCAGAUGAGCUAGACGUCGAUUUGGCUGAAACCCCCGGUGACUAGGAGCCGCUGAACAUCGCUUGGUUUGGACCAAUACUCAUGAGGAGCACUCGCCCGGGUUCUUGAUUAAGAUCCAUGGGGUAGCUAUUCCCUAUGCAUUUUUAUUAAGUUCUUUAGCAAAUUUAAUAUCAAUGUUUGGCUUUGCCGGAAGAGUCUUAACUCAAAAUGAAUUAUCAAGGGGGUCCUCAUGACAACCCCAACUGUUUUAAGAGCACUCAAUAUGGAACAUGACACAAGUAACCGGAAACUAGGGCGGCAAAAGAGGAACAAAACACCGAGAAAAAGGCCAAUCCUUCCGCCUUCACAAGGUAUAUAUGUGCACUAAUUUAAAUAGAAAUAAUAAGAUGAUAUUCCAAAUUUCCAUGUCAACACAUGUAUUAACCUGUACCUGCAACUAGCAACGCUAUAAGAAGGUUUGAGAAAGCGCUAACUUAGCUAAUUAACGUUUGCUAGGAUGUGGAGGGGUUAGAGGCUUUUCAAGGCAAUGUUUGGAAGCUUGAUAUUCAGGUGGUAGGCAGAAAUAAAUAGCUAUGGAAAUGAGAAAGCUAAUCAUAAAAAAUUAUAAACGAUAUCAAGGUCACGAUCAUCUUGCCUAGCACUUCUUCUGAGGGAUAAAAGUCUAGCUCUUCAGGAACGUUCUCAACGGGAUACCCGUACUCGUUCUCUGCACUUGAUAGUACCAAAAAUAAAAUACAACAUCCAAUGAACACACAACAAGGCACAAUUCUUCAGACAAUAUGAUACAUGAGUAUGGUAUGAAUGAAGCAGGGCAAUGCUACACUAGUCAUCUUUCUCAUGCAAUUAUUUAGUUAUUACCAUUCUGUAUAGAACCUCAAGAGUAAUUAUUUCGACAUGCAUGACAUGGAAAAAAUAAAUGCAUAAUGAUAAAAUUAUACAAAUGCAUAUAAAGAACGUCACAAACCGAGUUACAGAUCUCUCGAAACUCUCACGACAAGAUACAGAAGGCAAUGAUGAUAAAAACAGAAUUUGAGAGCGGAUAUGGGAAAUUCCUUAGCAUUCCAAGUGUUCCACAGGAUUGGGAACGAAAUUAUUGGUUAAGUAGACCUAAAUUUAAUUCCAAACAAAGGAGCACAACUAAAACAAAGCACGAAACAAUCCAACAAGCAAUAUGUCCACAAACAGCAACAUACCACUUUGUUCAGAUGAAAACGAAUAGCUACAGCGCCCAUCAAGUUCAACCCAAACAUGGAUAUGAAGCUAAAAAAGAGUACAACAACCCCUAACUAAAAUCAACAUGGAUAUGUUCAUGAACCAAUGGCAAUCAAGAUCCUAAUAUGGCAACAAUUAUAACAAAUUAGGACUUGGUGAAAAUUUCAGUUUUAUACUAGCAGUUUUAUCAUGAUGGCAUGUUGAUAGCAAUAAAACUCUAUUCUACAGUAAGUUUCAUAGCAUGAAAUUUGACAGGCUCGUAGAGGACAACAAUCACUAAAAUUCACUCCCACUAACCAUGAGCCAAAACUGAACAAAAACAAUGGUAGCCUCCUCUAAACAUGGCAUGAUGAUAUAAGCAGAUUCUCAAACUUAGUCAAAUUUCACAGGGUGAAUUCACAGCAGUUUACAACAACACGGCAUGUUUGACAGCAACAAUAGCUAAGAUGCAAGGCCUAUUUUUCAAAGUAAUGACUCCAUUUAAUAGAGGGCAACAUGCUAUUUAAUUCACACCACAAUUCCAACACAAAGAACUAGUAUAUGCUUGGCAAUCGUCAUGCCAACACAACUAUUUGAAAUAGUUUUCACACUUAGUCAUCUUUCAACAUACCCAAGCAACAAUAUUGAGAUGGCAUGUUUCGAGCAAGAAAGCUACAAAUAUACAGGGUUUUCAAGGCGAAUAAAAAUACCAGGGCCUAGCACUCCCAAAAUACUACAACUUUCAUUUGACAAGUUUGGCAAAGGGUGCAAGGCUUGCUCCACAAAAAAAAAAUAGGCAUCAUGGUGUCAAAUAGCAUGCACAUCAACUUGCUAAAAAGACAAAACUAAUGUCAUCAUUGGAUUCCUUGGACUUUUCUACCCCAAAAUUACAUAUCAUAAGCAUAUGCUCCUGUAGACAAAUCACCCACAAACUACAACUCAAAAUGCAAUUAACUAGGUAUAACCUAGUAUAUGCCAAAUUAGCAUAUGCUCAAAAUGGACAUGGAUAGAUUUGGAACUUGCCCUAUAAACAAAAAUAAUCCCGCGGGGGGCACCAGUGAUAGUGACACCAAGGCCCCCUAGCUGAAUGACAGGUGGGCCAUAGCGCUCUCGUCAGCUAUUCCAUUUAACACUGAGAGAAAAGAAUGGGGGCUUGGGAGGAUACGAAUCAGAGACAUCGUGGUGGAGCACUACACCUGCUACCACUGGGCUACGCUACGGCGUCGGAUCUAAUCGGUUUCUCGCUUCUUAGAUCAAGCAAAAUGACGGCCACUCUAGCGACCAACAGCCCAGGAGAACGAGGGGGGGGGGGAGCUCAUUNNNNNNNNNNNNNNNNNNNNNNNNNNNNNNNNNNNNNNNNNNNNNNNNNNNNNNNNNNNNNNNNNNNNNNNNNNNNNNNNNNNNNNNNNNNNNNNNNNNNNNNNNNNNNNNNNNNNNNNNNNNNNNNNNNNNNNNNNNNNNNNNNNNNNNNNNNNNNNNNNNNNNNNNNNNNNNNNNNNNNNNNNNNNNNNNNNNNNNNNNNNNNNNNNNNNNNNNNNNNNNNNNNNNNNNNNNNNNNNNNNNNNNNNNNNNNNNNNNNNNNNNNNNNNNNNNNNNNNNNNNNNNNNNNNNNNNNNNNNNNNNNNNNNNNNNNNNNNNNNNNNNNNNNNNNNNGGGGGGGGGGAGCUCAUUCGCUAUGCCGAGGGAAGGUUGCGGGGCGAAGGGGCUCGCUUCAAGCUCGAGGAGGAUCUCUACUCAGCCAUUGCAUGGCGGGGCUGAAGACGAAGCAAGGCGAUGGCGAGCGCUCGCGGAUGCGGCGGGGCGACGCAUAUUUCCACACGCGAGCUGCGGAAAACUACUAAAGCAUGCGCGAGGAAGGGGACGCGAAAUAAACCAAAACCCCUCUUUGAAGAACUCCAUCAGAGAAGCGCCGAGGCGCGGGGUGCAAAGUGACGGCGAGGCCUACAUGGGAGGACACACGCCUGGAUCUGGGAAAAAGCGAGGGGAAUGGGACAGCGGCUACCUCCACUACCUGCUGACGCUCGGAUCUGGCCCGGGUUGCUGCACGACGACGGUGAUGUGUUGUGAAUCCUUGUCGGGAUUCUGCUCCAUGAAACAGAGGACGACGAUGACCAUGCUGCAGGGCUUGGGUCCUAGUGGCGCAUGCGGGGAUGAAGAAAAAGCUGGGACGAGAGAGGUACCAUAC
rnacentral:lncRNA from 1 species